AAUCCUUAUCAGUGUCCCGACUGCUCAGGAGGGUCCUGCCUUGGACAUCAUGGCAACUGACCUCGUCCGCAGAUACAGCAAUGCUGGUGUGGCUCCUCCUCGGCUACUUUAUGUAGACUGUGACUUUUGUCGGGAGGGCAGAGGACAGACCAAAUUGAAAGAAAGAUUUGGUGGGUGGCCAGAUCUGGUUGUCAAGCUUGACAUCUACCACUUCAUGCGGCGACUGGCAUCUGGAUGUACAAAGGAUGCACAUCCUCUGUAUCCUGUCUUUACGGCUAAACUGUCCAGCUGUAUUUUUGAGUGGGACAGAGGAGAUGUUGCCUUGCUGCGGCAAGCCAAGCGGGAGCAGCUGCGACAGGAAGGUGUCCCUGGCAUCACUGAAAAUCUAAUUGACCAGCAGAUCACCAAGGAGGAACUGGCCCUGCACUGUAGAAGGCAGACAAGAGGAGAGCAGCAGACCAUUGUCAUGAUUGCACAGCUUCUUAACGAGUUGAUCGGGGUCGAGGGCAGAGAUUUUCUUGGUGUCCCUCUUUUGGACCAGGAGAGGAUGCAGCACAUCUGGCAAGUCCAGCAGAGGCAUGUUAAGUGCAUUUAGGACGAACCAGGUGUGCUCCUCUACAGUCAGACUGGGACGACCACCAAGGCAGGCAUUGUCCUACCGAACUACAGGUGUGCCAGAGGUUCCACAUCUCUUGAGUCUUUUCACUUACAUGUGAACAGGUUCAUUCCAGAACAAGUGCCAACAGCUUGAAUUUCCAGCUGUACCUCCUGGAAGGACUCAAUAGAUGGAACCAGGACCAUGAAGCUGCAUCCCUGGCAGUCAACCCUCCCUCCCUGCUCAGUUACUCAGGAGACCUUGUUCACUGCGUGAACGCACACAGUGUCAGGGUGCUUGGAAGGAAGCUUGUCCCCUCUUUUCAGCCACCUGCUGUUUACACUGGGGAGCUAAUAGGUAUAGAUGACCUAUUCCGUCAGACUGGAAAGGCCUUGCAGGAUGUACAUCCUGACUCAGAGGAGACUGAUCAGAUGCUGGAGGAUGUCGGCACCGAGGAGGAGCUGGAAGAUGAGGGCUUUGAAGAUACUGUGUGAAUGACAGCGGGUUGGUUCAUACUGCUACCUGGGGACCGGUCAUUGUUGUGUAGCGUCAGAGAAAAUGCGGCGGCAGGAAGGGGAGGAAGUGAUUAAUUAGAUGACAUGAUCCACCAGUGUUUUCCUUUCACACUGCUGGUACUGCUCACCUGUUGUCCGCUGCGGUGGCGUGCUGCUCACCUUCUCUUUGUUUGAUGAUGUCCAGGAUGUACUCGGAGAAACAGACGAUCCUCUAGAAGACUCGUACCUUGAUGUUCCUCUAAUAUUUUAGCCCCCGUGGUUGUGGAACGAGUUUUCACGGUGCUCGACAUAAAUAAAAUAUACGCACCAGUAUGAAACUCUCCGCCUCAGUCAUUGGUACCAAGGGCCAGCUACAUACUGGUUUAGACCCAACCGUUGAAGUACUGGACCUGUCCUCUGAACCUUCAUCUGUCACCACCAGCUCAGCCCACAUUCCAACUCCCACCUUCCUUCAGGCCUCUGCUGGUCCUGCAUCUGCUAUUGCUCCAGCAUCACCUGAGCAACCACUGGCAAUAAUUCUUGUCAUGUUUUUAUUGUACUAUGUCUGUAUUUGCUUAUGAUUUUUUAUUUUUAUUGUAUAAUAAUGAUAAUAUUAAACUUUAUUUGUAUACCACUUUUCAUACACAAGUUAACAAAGUGCUUCACAGAAAUACAUGGAAAAACUACAUAACGCCAUCGAGAAAUAAGAACGUAGAUAAAAGGCAAUGAUAAAACUCUAGUUAAAUGCAGUUUUAUAAGAAUUCGUUUUUAAAAGAGUAUUACAUUUUGCAGAUUGUGCAUGAGAGCACAGAUAGUCACUCUGGCCCAUCAGCCCUCCCUACCGGCUCUGCACCUGUCCUCCCAACUCCCGCCGGCCUUCCAGCUACCACGCCCGCUGCAACUGCUUGUCCCUUUUUUCACCACCCAUCACCCUUGCCCCACCUCAACAACAGCUGGCUUUCAAUUUGCUGAGCAAGAGGUCCUCAACCACCAGCUCAGCCUCUGUCCCUCUUCUCCCCACCACCCUCACAACCACUUUCUCUUCUGCUACAGCUACUGCUGGGUCACAAACCAUCACCCCGGCCGCACCUGAGCAACAGCCUAUUUUGUAUGAGCGCAACACCACGUCCUCUGGCCCAAGAGCUGUCAUCCCCAGCACAGCCUCUGCCCCUCCCAACAUCACCAUCCUACCAGCUACUCUCGCCACUCAAACUGCUGGUCCCUCUGGGGAACCUGCCCUGACCCCAGCAGCACCUGAGCAACAGCUGGCUGUUGAUUAGCGCUGUAUUCCAGGGAUGGACCGAGUGGACAGCCUGGCAGAGUACUUGGUGGGGCUGAGGAGUGAAACUGGCCAAACACUCAGCAACCA